GUGAGUUCAGGGCAUUUACUGAAUUAACUUGACAAUCGGGGAUUGAUAUGCGACUUUCCUGUCCUCACACCCCAGCCCAAAAUGGUAGAGUUGAAAGAAAACAUCGACACAUUACAGAAAUUGGCCUAACUCUUCAUUGACACAGUUCGCACUAAAGGACAUGGGUGAACUGCACCAGUUUUUAGGAAUUGAAGUAAGGAGCUAUGAAUCAGGAAUGUGUCUCACUCAGGUUAAGUACAAAAAAGACUUGUUGAAAAAGUUUAAUUUUGAACACCUUAAACAUUGUGCGAUGCCCAUGACAGUUGGCAAGUGCAUCUCCAAGAAUGAAGGUGAAAAAUGGCAGACCCUUUCUUAUACAAAAGUGUAAUAGGUGGACUUCAGUACCUAGGACAUACGCGACCUGAUAUAAGUUUUGCAGUAAAUAAAUUGAGUCAAUUUCUACAAACUCCUUCAGAAACUCAUUGGAAGGCAGUAAAGAGGAUUUUUAGGUAUCUAAAGGUUACAAUUGAACAAGGUCUAUGGAUCCAAAAGAGUGACAUAAUGGACAUCGCAUGGUUUGCUGAUGCGGAUUGGGCGUCAUGUCCUGAUGACAGAAGUUCAACAUCCGACUACUGUGUCUAUUUAGGAGAUACCUUAGUGGCCUGGUCUUCAAAGAAACAAUUGGUGGUGGCGAGGUCAAGUGCUGAAAUCAGAGUACAGAGCACUAGCACAAUCCUCUGCUGAAAUAACUUGGGUAGAGUCGUUGCUUAAAGAAAUCAAGCUACAACCUGCUUCACCUCAUACCUAUGGUGUGAUAAUCUUAGUGCCAGUGCAUUAGCCUCUAAUCCAGUUUAUCAUGCUCGAACUAAACACAUCGACUUAGAUAUACAUUUGUUAGAGAUAAAGUUCUUGAAGGGAAGUUGAAGAUAAAAUACAUUCCAUCAUCAGACCAAACGGCAGAUCUGUUAACCAAACCACUUGCUCAUUCCAAAUUCUUGUUUCUCAAAGACAAGCUUGGAGUUAAUGAAUAAACUCCAGCUUGAUGGAAGAUGUUAAAAUGUUUACUAAUAGCUGGUGACAUACUCCAGUAUGGGCGUGUGUACUGAAAUGGUCCUUUUACUUGUUUACCACUCUAGCACUUAUGGAACCAUAAUUUACUGGUGUAACUGUACUGAUUCUUCACAUGUACAUCACAUUUCUUUUACUUGUUCACCACUCCAGUACUUGUAUAAAUCUACAGCCAUUGUGCUUUGAAAAUACAAGAAAUCGAUCUCGUCUUCUUCACUUGCCUUCUUUGUUCUCUGUUUUUUAUUUAAUUUCAACUCUAAAUGACGGUUUGUGAUUUGACGCAUUAAUGUGAUAGUUUUUUCUUACCUCAUAUAUCAAAUCACUAAAUGUAUGUGUAUACUAUGUAAGGCGACCACGAUAAUGAGUGACUGCAAAUAACAUUACUCUUACCUAUAUACGUGUUCUCUUCACCGCUCAAAUUACUCCAAUUAUCUCGAGUUAAGGUAUUAUCGAUGCUUAUGUGAACUUUUCUUUCUUUUUUUCCCCCCUGCAAAAUUCAAUAAUGGGCCAUGUUUAUUUUUCUGUUUUAAGUUUUUG
rnacentral:lncRNA from 1 species